UACGUAGGGUGCAAGCGUUAAUCGGAAUUACUGGGCGUAAAGCGUGCGCAGGCGGUUGGUUAAGACAGAUGUGAAAUCCCCGGGCUCAACCUGGGAACUGCAUUUGUGACUGGCCAGCUAGAGUAUGGCAGAGGGGGGUGGAAUUCCACGUGUAGCAGUGAAUGACGUAGAGAUGUGGAUGGAACAGCCAGACUGGAGCGGAACGGAGCAGCCCCCUGGGGCCAACUGACUGACGCUCAUGCACGAAAGCGUGGGGAGCGAAACAGG
rnacentral:rRNA from 1 species